rnacentral:ncRNA from 1 species
AUUUUAAGUCUUAUGUAAAGAUUGCUUUUAUAGAUUUAAAAUUUGAUUAUGGUUUUAAAAUUGUUAAAAUAGUAUUAUUUAAUUUUAAUUUAUUAAGUGGGCAAUAAAAUAUUACCCCGGUAAUCAAUUGUUUGUAUAAUACUUGUUCCAGAAUAAUCGGCUAGGCUUGUAAAAAUUUAAACUUUAUUUUGUUUUAAUUAUAAUUUUGAGUUAGAAUUUAAAAAAUCAUAGGUUAAAUUUUGAUUUUUAAGGGUGUUAAAUUAUAAUUUUAAAUUUUGAUAAACGAAUUAGAUUAGUACCUAAUUAGACAAAAAUUAAAAGAGCAGAAGUAAAGUGGUAUUUAAACUGAAAGAAUAUUGGCAGAUUUUCUAAAUUAUCUUUGGAGGUUGAGUAAUGAUUGAGAACCCUCAUUAACUACUUUUAAAUUAGUCUCAUGUAUGAUCGUUUAUUUUAUGCUUAAGGUAUAUAAUAAAAAAUUUUUAUUUAGUAAAAUAGAUAUAUAUUUGGUUUAUGUAGGAGUAAAAUUUGGCCUACAAUAAUUAGGAUUGUGGAUUGGUGUUAAAGUUAACACGAUGAAAAUGUAAAAGACAGUAAAAAAAUUUUUAUGAUUUUUUGAAGAUUAUUUAGAUGUGGUACAAAUCAUCCAUCAAUUGCCUAAAGGGGAGUAAGUUGUAGUAAAGUAGAUUUAGGGGAACCUUAAUCUAGUAAAUU